UACGUAGGGCGCAAGCGUUUAUCCGGAAUUAUUGGGCGUAAAGAGCUCGUAGGCGGUUUGUCGCGUCUGCCGUGAAAGUCCGGGGCUCAACUCCGGGCCUGCAGUGGGUACGGGCAGACUAGAGUGUGGUAGGGGAGAUCGGAUUCCUGGUGUAGCGGUGGAAUGCGCAGAUAUCGGGAGGAACACCAGUAGCGAAGGCGGCACUCUGGGCCGGUACUGACGCUGAGGAGCGAAAGCGUGGGGAGCAAACAGGG
rnacentral:rRNA from 1 species